AAGUCGUAACAAGGUUUCCGUAGGUGAACCUGCGGAAGGAUCAUUACCAAAUCCAAAUCUCAACCCCAUGUGAACUGUUGUUUGUCUGUCUUUGGGGGUGGUGCUUUUGCUUAGCGAAGAGAAGCGCUUGUCGCUUUUUCCUCCACAGCGUUUUUGCUGCCCCCAAAUGAAUCCGGCACUCCGGUGCUUGGGUUCAACAGCUAAACCACUUCUUAAACUUUGUUGGCAUAACUUUUAUUAAUACUAAUAAAGGACAACUCUUAACAGUGGAUCUCUUGGCUCGUG
rnacentral:misc_RNA from 1 species